rnacentral:hammerhead_ribozyme from 2 species
AGUCGAAACGCUCUCCGGGCCAACCGGCUCGGAGAGCGUCUGACCGGGGAUCGCCUCCCGGCACUGAUGAGACAGGCGACA